GCAGGAAAUACUUUCUCUGUAAAGACGGGACAUACUGGGGCGAACGACAAUGCGGAUCUGGGAUUUUAUUCGACUUUUUCGACAAACAAUGUAAACCUGCCCCGGAAGCGAUAUGUGCGCCAGGUGCGACCACACCCACCACAGCGCCACUCACGUCAACAACCCCACAACCUGCGCCUUGUCCGCCGACGGGAGACGUCAAAAUUCCUCAUCAAUCGGAUUGUCGCAAAUUUUACUACUGCGUUAACGGAAACGGAUACGAAACCCGGUGUGAGGAGGGCACGCUUUUCGAUUUUUUUGAAAGAUUAUGCCUCCCCACGGAAAUGGCGAGAUGUUCCCAGGGAGCCACGACGCCACUUCCGGUAACCUGCUUACCGGAUGGAACUACAUAUUAUGAACCUCAUCCAAGCGACUGUCGAAGAUACAUAAUGUGCAUUAAUGGACAAAUUGACGACCGUCUUUGUCCAAACAAUUACUUGUUCGACCACGUGGACAAGACGUGCAAACCAGGACCGGAAGCUCGAUGUGCUCCUGGAGCCACGACACCUUCCCCGAUCCAACCAACCACACCCAACCCGAUCUCGUGUCCGCCACAGGGAGUAUUUAAGUUGCCUCACCCAUGUGAGAUACACUUAUCUCAUAAUCAC